rnacentral:rRNA from 1 species
UACGUAGGGCGCAAGCGUUAUCCGGAAUUAUUGGGCGUAAAGAGCUCGUAGGCGGUUUGUCGCGUCUGCCGUGAAAGUCCGGGGCUCAACUCCGGAUCUGCGGUGGGUACGGGCAGACUAGAGUGAUGUAGGGGAGACUGGAAUUCCUGGUGUAGCGGUGAAAUGCGCAGAUAUCAGGAGGAACACCGAUGGCGAAGGCGGGUCUCUGGGCCGAUACUGACGCUGAGGAGCGAAAGCAUGGGUAGCGAACAGG